GUAGGUGCUUGGUGUUUGUAGUGGGCAGCCAAAAGUAGACGGCAGCAGAGGAAGGGGAAUGAGGAAGCAGACCUGAAAGGGAGCAAGAGUGGCUUGGUGGCCAAAGACUUACAAAGGUAGACAAAUUGCUUGGCUCAGAAAUAAUGGGAGAACCAGCCUCCAGCACUGAGGGAGAAGAGAGGGAGCCUCAGUUUGGAAGGCUAGGCUUGUUGAGAUCCUGAAAGCCAAGUUUGGGGCAAGAACUUUUUAGUGAGAGAACCACAACAGAUAUUUAACUUUGCAAAACAUGCAGCAAAGAACUAAGUGUGGAAAUAGAGGCUGCAAAACUUUUAAAAUGUGCCCUGGUACAGAGGUAGACCACCCACUUGGUAAGUCAUAAAAUGGUUUACUUACAAAAUUCUUCUAAGGUCAGAUCCAUGUGUUUUUCCAUGCAGCUGUAAAACGUUGCUUAGUUACAAAAGGUAAAAGUUUCUAAACUAUUGGUAUAGAAAAAAAUACUAGUUUCAAGCUCCAUUCUUGUCUGAAACAAAAGAAGCUGGUUGAAAAAUCAUUAAGGCUGGCUGCCUCAGACCUCCUCACAUGUUGAAUUCCACAUGUGAAGUGGGAUUAAAAAAAGGCUUGAUUACCUAUUUCCUCCCAAGGUGAGGGGAAGUGACAUAGGCUAAGCCUCACAGGGCAGCUUGCUCUAUGGUUUUAACCCCUUCAUGCACUAAUUAAGAGGCAAGCAUACUGGUUUUCUGAGGCUGUUUACCCGACAAGGCUCUGGUGUGUAGUAGGAGAGCCAGAACAAGAUUUCAGGAUAGUAUAGCAGAAGCAGACCUGUGCUUAAAUAGGUCAGUAGGGGUUGAAACAGAUUUUAACACAAGUCCUCAGUUAUAGUGUUGGUUAGGCUUAACUGGGAUGGGGUAAGUGGCAACAGAGUUUUAAUAAAGUUCUUUAAAACUGUCUAGACUUAGUAAUAAUAUAAAAUAAGCCUAGGGUAUAAGUGAUAUUAAAUGAUAGCAGUGGUAUGGUUUAGAAAAAACAUUGGCAUGGAAGUUGGGUUUUCUUAAUAAGUAUGGAAAUAGCCCCCUUCCCUCCACAACAGUAAUUGUGCAAAUGUAGCAGAUAGAGCAAGGGAGAGAGCACCCCCUGAGAUUUUUAACGUCUGCAUAUCUAUAGCAGAUAACACCUAUGGAAGAUGGAAUGCAUUUUUAAUUAACCUUGUCCAGUGCAGAGCCCCAAAUGUUUAGGUAACUGCAGUGCUGCAUAAAGUAGGAAGCAACUGCUUUUGGCAGCUGGAUAUAGUUUUUGGAUAAUCAUAGCUCACUUUGUAAGUCCAAGGAACAGAAUGCACCAUGUGGGACAAUAUGUUAUUAUGCUCCAAGUUCUAAUCAAGGUGUAGUGACUUUGACCCUUAGGCUAUCUGUCUUCUUUUCCUGUUCCAUUGUAUUUUAAAACUGAAAUAACCUCUUCUUGUAUAAUUUAUACUCAAUUGACCAGCAAAGCUAUGCAUAACUAACUAUUGCAGAACUCCAUUGCCUAGAGAUCCAAGGAAAAUCAGAAAUUGAAUACUAGUGUCAAGCUCUAGUGAGCUCUUUCCCUGCAGGACACCCAGCUCCUCAAUACUACCUGCUCAUCCUCAG